CAGGGGAGGGAUGAUGGAGAGGGGAACAAAAAAAGAGAGACUUUCAAAGUGGAUUUAAAGCUAGGCAGUGCCUGCCUGACGUUACUCUGCCUCUGGCUUCUGGAGAGAGAGAGUCUUGCCUUGCUGCUUUGGUGUUGCUGCUGCUGCUGCCUGUUCCCCUUGUUGCCUUGCUCUGUUGCUGGUCUGGACCCCUGGAGCCUUUCCCUGCUUGGAAACCUUCCCUGCUGAACCCAUGCUCUUGUGGAUUAUCUUGCUGUUUUUCGACCCCCACUGUGCUGUUGAGUGCCAGCGUGUGCUUGGUCUAAUCGCCUGGAGCCCCCGGCCAGACACAGCCAAGGAGAAGACAACUUUGAUGCUGCUGCUAUGGUGACAGUACUGUAGAAGCCACAACUGAUGGGAUUGAUCCGGUGUUUGAUUCCUGAAAGUGCACAAAUCAAUACCGUCAGAGUGUUGAUUCCGCAUCUAGCAACUCUAUGCUUAGUUGGCUUCUGGUCCACAGAUUCCAGCUCUCAACUUCCCAAAAAGAGAAAGUUGCUUGUGGAAGCAGGAUUCAUUGAUGCCGAUGGAAGAAGAUGGCAUCGCAAACCUUACCUGGAUAAUGUGACGCUAUUGUCAACACCAUUCUUUGAUCAAAGGCAGUCUUUUUAAAUGCCCUGAAAGGAAAGGAUCAGUGGCAUAAUAAGGCUAGAGGUGGCCCUGGGAGCAUCAACCUUGAAAUUACUGCCCCCCACACCAAGCACACCCCCUGAAGCUGACAUGUAAGGGUCAGGGGAUGUGGCUGGCAUCAGCGUAUGGAUAUGCCAUUCGUCAGCCUCUCCCAGCCGGUGAGCUCUUUGUAUGAUGGUGGGAUGCUCCCUUUCUCUCCCCGACUUGGAGGAAAGGAAACAUCCAGCUGGCGGACAAAGCAUUCACCAGUGGGAAGAAGCCAUUGAGUGGUGUGUCUGUAUCCCAGUUCUGGCCACAGCCCUUGUGCAGGCACCAGAAGCAUGCCAACAUGGGGUAUGUAGCUGGCAUCAAGGCACUGAUGUGCUGCCUGAUGGCUUCUCCCAGUGGGCAAGUGUUUUGUCUGCUAAGUGGGUGCUCUGUGGGGGGUGAGGAGGUGCUGAGGGGAAAGAAGCCCCCUGCCAACUGCUCAGUGGUUCCUAUGGCCCUAGAAAGGAUUGCUGUCUGUCUGUUGUGGUAUGCAGAAUAAA